rnacentral:rRNA from 1 species
GAUGAACGCUGGCGGCGUGCCUAAUACAUGCAAGUCGAGCGAACGGACGAGAAGCUUGCUUCUCUGAUGUUAGCGGCGGACGGGUGAGUAACACGUGGAUAACCUACCUAUAAGACUGGGAUAACUUCGGGAAACCGGAGCUAAUACCGGAUAAUAUUUUGAACCGCAUGGUUCAAAAGUGAAAGACGGUCUUGCUGUCACUUAUAGAUGGAUCCGCGCUGCAUUAGCUAGUUGGUAAGGUAACGGCUUACCAAGGCAACGAUGCAUAGCCGACCUGAGAGGGUGAUCGGCCACACUGGAACUGAGGAACGGUCCAGACUCCUACGGGAGGCAGCAGUAGGGAAUCUUCCGCAAUGGGCGAAAGCCUGACGGAGCAACGCCGCGUGAGUGAUGAAGGUCUUCGGAUCGUAAAACUCUGUUAUUAGGGAAGAACAUAUGUGUAAGUAACUGUGCACAUCUUGACGGUACCUAAUCAGAAAGCCACGGCUAACUACGUG